rnacentral:lncRNA from 1 species
GGCACGAUAGUAUUGUAAGGAAGCAAAAAUAGGGUGAAAAUAUAACUUAAAAAAGGUACACUUGGAACUGCGCCUAUUUUUCAGUUUUUACCACUUGUUUAUUUGGGAUACUUUCUGGUUGAAAAUUUUUCAGCCUUCGGGAUUCUACACGCGCUCGAUCUCCUUUUAUUCUUGCGCAGAUUUGAUUUUUGCAUUAGUGCUGUACUGAACGUCAUCCUUUUCAAGAUGGUCUUGUUCAUCUGGCUUGGUUUCUCUUCUUGUGAAAUGUUCUUCUCUGCUGUUUUACUGUUUAUCCUAGGAUCGAUUGUUGGUCCAUAUCCGGCUGUCCAAGGGGCGCAACAAGGUGCUGUUGUAACUGAUUAUGAACCGGCGUUUGUGGAGAUUCUGAAUUGGGUGGAGUCGCAGGACCAGUGCACAUCGAUCCCGGCCGCACGGCGAACCGGGGACCCGGCGACGUUGGCAAAUGCCGUUCUCAAAGGGAACGAAGCGUGCGUGAAAAUGAACCGCAAGCUCCAGGAUGAGGUCCAAGAUUAUCGCCGCGAGGACUGCGAUGGGGGGACAAACCCUGGCUGCUGUGAAGUCUCGGAGCCCAACGGGCAGCAGCGGUGUUGCGUUGAAGUUGAAGAUAUUGGCUGGUUCGGCAAGCGCAUCCCAAAAAAGAUCUCUAUAUACAGUUGCGUGAAACGGGCCCUUCGAGAGUACAAAAGACAACUGGGAGAAGCAAAACAACGGCAGAGGCCCCAGAAACUCUACGACUGCCCUGAGAAACCUGGUCCCAACGUCUACAUGGUCCCAUAUCCGGGAGCGCCCCAAACUACCCCCGCGCACACCGCCUCCACACGCCGUUCUUCAUCCUUCUCUGCCCCCUCCUCAACCCCAAAAGCUCCUUCCAAACCCUCUAAAUUUUCCACCCCCACAACCCCAAAAGCUUCCCUCAAAUCCUCUAAAUCUUCCACCUCCACAACCCCAAAAGCUUCCCCCAAAUCCUCUAAAUCUUCCACCUCCAAGACCUCGAAAGCUCGUCCCAAAACUCUAAAACUUCCACCCCCAAGACUCCUGCUACACCCUCUGGUCAAACUCAAACAUAUACUGUGAUACCAUUCAAGUGGCCCCGAGAAACUCGUCCGUCAGAUUCGGUGUGGGAGUUCGGGGAAUCAAGCGUUGGCAAGAACGAUUGAUUUUACAAGCGAUCGAAGCAACCUUUCAAAGUAACCCUUUAAGAAGUAAAUUUCAUUUAUUUUAUCCGUAGUCAACAAGCCACAAUUCCACAUUGAAAUACGUUUUAAGUUACCAAACAUCGGUGGCAAAUGAGAGGAGAUAGCGAUUUGACUUCCGUAGUACAUCACUUCCAUCAUUUCCCCGCCAUUCCGACGCGUAUGAUAAUUCUCCAAGUCUUGGGACUUUUUAAAAAUGGAUUCAUCCUGGAUUUUGGUUCGAAAAAUACGCAAUAAAGCACCACGUAGCCUACUCACCUGGUACUUUCAGAAUCGUUUUGUAUAUAUUCUUAUGGAUCUCAGGGCUCAUGUCUUUCUUAAUGCAUACAGCUCUGUUUGGCAGAAAUACGUCCAAGUUAGGUUCGAGCCGACGCACGAUGAAAUAAACUAUUGGCUGAGGUAGAACACAAUACCAUAAAAUAUCUACAUAUCGUGUUGAGGUUUAUUUCCUAAGCAUACAUAUUAGACCGCGGCAGUUCGAAUACUAUGUUUUAAUAUUAUUCAUUCGUUGUAAUGUGGAAUCCAAAAA